rnacentral:lncRNA from 1 species
AGAGAGAGAGGAAGGGAAGCAGGCUUCCCGCUGAGCAGAGAGCCUGAUGCAGGACUCAAUCCCAGGACCCUGAGAUCAUGACCUGAGCUGAAGGCAGUGGCUUAACCCACUGAGCCACCCAAAUGCCCCUCAGCUGACAAUUUAAAAGUCAUGUGUCACCAGCCCCAGCUGAAUUAGGCAGAGCAGGACACUGGUCCCUUAUAAAGUCUUCCUUCCACCUGCUGUUCCCACAGUCUCUGUGACUGUUACAGAACGCAUCAUAUUAGACAACAAUCAUCUGUUUGCUGUCUAUUUUCUCAAGCAGACCGCGAGCUCUUGGUGUCAGCAGCUCGGAUUUACUCAUCUCUGAAUUUCUGGGAGGUACCACAGCACAUGGGUCCCACAAAGGAC